ACUAGGGCAGCAACCACCGACUGGGGACACCAGCCAAGUAAACAAGAAGCUGAGAAAAUGAUGAGAGAAUCCACCUUGGAUAGACUUUCUUCUUUAAUCAGAAAUCAUGAGAAGAAACUAGCUCUGGCAAAAGCAAGGUUCAAUAAGGCUGAGAAGGAUUUAGCGAAAAUAUAGGGUGAUUUGGAACCAGCAGACCUUCCAUCUGAUUUGGAGACAUUAACUAAUGAAGAGAGAUUUUUGUUUAGGAAGAUUGGUCUGAGUAUGAAGCCAUAUUUACUUCUAGGGAGGCGAGAUGUUUAUGCUGGCACCAUAGAAAACAUGCAUCUA